UAACGACDCUCGGCAACGGAUAUCUCGGCUCUCGCMUCVAUGAAGAACGUAGCGAAAUGCGAUACUUGGUGUGAAUUGCAGAAUCCCGUGAACCAUCGAGUCUUUGAACGCAAGUUGCGCCCGAAGCCAUUAGGCCGAGGGCACGKCUGCCUGGGCGUCACG
rnacentral:rRNA from 1 species